rnacentral:rRNA from 1 species
GUAGGUGGCAAGCGUUGUCCGGAAUUAUUGGGCGUAAAGCGCGCGCAGGCGGUUCUUUAAGUCUGAUGUGGAAGCCCACGGCUCAACCGUGGAGGGUCAUUGGAAACUGGAGAACUUGAGUACAGAAGAGGAAAGCGGAAUUCCACGUGUAGCGGUGAAAUGCGUAGAGAUGUGGAGGAACACCAGUGGCGAAGGCGGCUUUCUGGUCUGUAACUGACGCUGAGGCGCGAAAGCGUGGGGAGCAAACAGGAUUAGAUACCCUGGUAGUCCACGCCGUAAACGAUGAGUGCUAAGUGUUAGGGGGUUUCCGCCCCCCUUAGUGCUGCAGCUAACGCAUUAAGCACUCCGCCCUGGGAGUACGGCCGCAAGGCUG